rnacentral:rRNA from 1 species
UACGUAGGGGGCUAGCGUUGUUCGGAAUCACUGGGCGUAAAGGGUGCGUAGGCGGGUCGUUAAGUCAGGGGUGAAAUCCUGGAGCUCAACUCCAGAACUGCCUUUGAUACUGAAGAUCUUGAGUUCGGGAGAGGUGAGUGGAACUGCGAGUGUAGAGGUGAAAUUCGUAGAUAUUCGCAAGAACACCAGUGGCGAAGGCGGCUCACUGGCCCGAUACUGACGCUGAGGCACGAAAGCGUGGGGAGCAAACAGG